CAGGGUGUUCCGGAACAACCUUCCGUCCGUGAAAUGACGUAUUCCUGAUACAAUUCUAAGACGAUUUUUCCUUUACCAAAAUUUGAAUUGAAGCGUAAUUUUUGAGUUAUAAGCAAAAAUAGUUAGCAAAUCACGCGUCGAAUACAGAAGGCAGGCAGGAGCGGCGCGGCGCGCCGCGAGCGCCCGACACAGCUGACCGUCUCAUUACCACCGCAUGGGUCGCUAACUAUUUUAUCUUACAACAUAAAAUUAUGCUUUAAAUAAAAUUUUGGUAAAGAAGAAAAUAUCUCAGAAUUAUGUCAAGAAUACGUGUUUCUUAAAAUAACGUCACUUUAACAAAAGUUGUUGCGGAUCGCCGGCCGUCGGACACUGCAACCAGCUGAUUGCUAACGCGAUGUGUGUAUGGCAGAGUGUAUGUGCAUAAAAGAAAGAGAGAGAGAGAGAGAGAGGACGGUGAAUCCGAAGGCUUUUCGGUCGAGAGUUUCGGCUGGAAUAUCGGAAAACGCCGCCG